GACGAACGCUGGCGGCGUGCUUAACACAUGCCAGUCGAACGGAAAGGCCCUGCUUUUGUGGGGUGCUCGAGUGGCGAACGGGUGAGUAACACGUUAGUAACCUGCCCUUGACUUUGGGAUAACUUCAGGAAACUGGGGCUAAUACCGGAUAGGAGCUCCUGCUGCAUGGUGGGGGUUGGAAAGUUUCGGCGGUUGGGGAUGGACUCGCGGCUUAUCAGCUUGUUGGUGGGGUAGUGGCUUACCAAGGCUUUGACGGGUAGCCGGCCUGAGAGGGUGACCGGCAACAUUGGGACUGAGGUAAGGCCCAGACUCCUACGGGAGGCAGCAGUGGGGAAUAUUGCACAAUGGGCGGAAGCCUGAUGCAGCAACGCCGCGUGCGGGAUGACGGCCUUCGGGUUGUAAACCGCUUUCGCCUGUGACGAAGCGUGAGUGACGGUAAUGGGUAAAGAAGCACCGGCUAACUACGUG
rnacentral:rRNA from 1 species